AUGUACCCACGUACACUCCGGUUCCUCCGCGCCGUCCGCACCCACCUGACGGCUGCUCGCUACGU
rnacentral:sRNA from 1 species